UACGUAGGGGGCAAGCGUUGUCCGGAAUCAUUGGGCGUAAAGAGCGUGUAGGCGGCCCGGUAAGUCCGCUGUGAAAGUCCAGGGCUCAACCCUGGGAUGCCGGUGGAUACUGUCGGGCUCGAGUCCGGAAGAGGAGUGUGGAAUUCCUGGUGUAGCGGUGAAAUGCGCAGAUAUCAGGAGGAACACCAAUGGCGAAGGCAGCACUCUGGGACGUGACUGACGCUGAGACGCGAAAGCGUGAGGAGCAAACAGG
rnacentral:rRNA from 1 species